rnacentral:rRNA from 1 species
UCCAGACUCCUACGGGAGGCAGCAGUGGGGGAUAUUGCACAAUGGGGGGAACCCUGAUGCAGCGACGCCGCGUGUGGGAAGACGGUCCUCUGGAUUGUAAACCACUGUCCCCAGGGACGAAGAUGACGGUACCCAAAGAGGAAGCUCCGGCUAACUACGUGCCAGCAGCCGCGGUAAUACGUAGGGAGCGAGCGUUGUCCGGAAUUACUGGGUGUAAAGGGAGCGUAGGCGGGCGAGAAAGUUGAAUGUUAAAUCUACCGGCUUAACUGGUAGCUGCGUUCAAAACUUCUUGUCUUGAGUGAAGUAGAGGCAGGCGGAAUUCCUAGUGUAGCGGUGAAAUGCGUAGAUAUUAGGAGGAACGCCAGUGGCGAAGGCGGCCUGCUGGGCUUUAACUGACGCUGAGGCUCGAAAGCGUGGGGAGCAAACAGGAUUAGAUACCCCCGUA